UAAGUUCGUCGGGAAAUCUACUGGCUUAACCAGUAGGCGUCCGGCGAAAACUGCUCGGCUUGGGACCGGGAGACCAGAGGGGUACGUCCGGGGUAGGAGUGAAAUCCUGUAAUCCUGGACGGACCACCGGUGGCGAAAGCGCCUCUGGAGAACGGAUCCGACGGUGAGGGACGAAAGCUAGGGUCUCGAACCGGAUUAGAAACCCCAGUAGUCC
rnacentral:rRNA from 1 species